CUGUAGGUGUUUGAAGGUGUGGACCUUGUGAGGAAAAGGCUCGAGAUGUCUUCAUGACUUUGAUAAAACAACCAAAUGAAACUGAUGCAAACGUUCAAUCUAGUCAGAUUAAAACCAUCUCUUUAAGCUUCACAGAUCAAGGUAAUAAGUUUCUUGAUAUACUGCCCAUGAAAAUUCAAAGUAAUAAUGUUUGGAUUCUUAACUCUGGGUAACUAAUCAUGUUAGCAUGAGUUUGGAAAAUUUUGUCUUAUGAAUAUGUUAAUAGCAUAAUCGUGAAUCUACCAAAUGGUAUAAAGAAUAAAGCCACACAUAAGGGGGUUAUCAANCUGAUGUUCCUUUUAUGCCAUAGUUUAAGUAUAAUCUUAUCUCAGUUUCGAAGCUUGUUUCUCCCAAACAUGUUUCUCAUUCAGAAGUACAAGUUUUUUUACUAAUGAUGGUUGUUUUGUCCAGGAUUUGAGAGUGGAGGCAGCAGGAGGGGAUAAGUUGAGAGUGAGAUGUUCAAAAUUAAAGCUAGAAGUGUUUUCAUUUCAGUUUUACAGAAUUUAUUCACUCUUUUUUCUACUGUCAUUGUUAUCCUUGUGUUUUGCUAACAAUAUUUUUUUUUUCUUUGGUUAAUAGUAUGACUUAUUGUUUACAAUAAGUUGAGUCUUAUAUUUUUAUCAUAAUAUCUAUAGGUUGUUUAACUUUUUCAGCCUUACUUGAUAUCUGUG
rnacentral:lncRNA from 1 species